CAGAAACUAGUUAUUUGGACAGCUCCCUGAAAAGCCAGAGCAUUGGAUGCAUACAUCACUGUUUCCUUCUAUCUUUAAAGGAGAGGUUGCUGAAUUGCAUGACUUCUGUCUGCUGUUUCACAAAUUCUCUGGAGCAGCAACAAACACCUAGCUAUCUUUUGUUGUCAGUGGCCCCUAAGUACAUAUAAUAUGCUACAUUUGUCCAUGCUCUGAGGCAGGAGAGACAAAAACCAGUCCCCUGAAAAGCCAGAACACUGGAUACAUGUUCCAAGUCUUUCCCUUCCCAGGAAGAAGCUGGGAGUUGAGGAUUUUCUUCCAUUUGUUCUGCACUGAGCCAACAGGAGAAAUGAUGAUGAAUGAGGGCAUGCUACUUCACAUUGUCACCUUUAGUAGUCCCCAACCUCAAAGACUUACCUGUUAGCACCUAGAUUUAGGCAAGACAGAAACCAGUCCCUUGAGGAACGACCCCCAGAAAUCAAACGUUUAAUGUAUGCCUCAACCUCCACCUUCUCUCUACAGGGAGAAGGCAGAAGUUGGGAGUUUUAUCCUGAUCCUACCACACUGAUCAAGGGAGAGGACUAUGGUCAAAAGGAAUGAAGAGGAAAAGAGAAAGAUGACUUCAUAACUUGGAGCCGCGGCAGCUUCUCCUUUUACCAGACAGCAACCAGAAGAAAGAGAACCUGAGACUGAAGGGUUCAUGAGAAAACCGAUAACUUUAUCCAUAGAAGAGCUACUUUUUCACAUCCAUGUUGUAGUGAUGAAUUUCUAUUUAUGUUGACAACUUUCCCAGAAGUCUUACUUUGGGACUUUGAUAAAAAGUAUAAAAUGUUUACUCAAGAACUUUUCUAAAGGGAGAUUGCUUUGCUGAACGAAUACAGCAUCCUGUCACUGCUCUCAGGGAACACUUCAGAGAAGACGUGACAUCUGAGUGGCACCUUAAAGGACAAUGUGAUAAACAGAGGGUUGCCUACUUCACAGUCUUUUUUUACCCUUCUUUACUAAAAGCACUCCAGUCUUAUCUCCUUCCAAGCAACCAUGUCCUUCAAAGAAGGCUGGGGUCUUUCCCGGCUCAAAGGAGUAAAUCUUGAAUAAUCUAAGCUAUGUUUUUCAAAAUGUGAGCUACAAACAAUUCAUAUCUUGUGAAAUCGAUUUAGUGUAUCCUGAACAGCAUUAAAAAAUGAAAUAUAAUAGAGUAUAACAGAAUGUAUUGUCUGGAUCCUUAGUAAUAACUGUGCAAAAUACAAAAAUACUACAAUCAAAUUCAACUAACAGAGAGAAAGAGAGAUAAUUAGGACUCUAGGAAGCUGAAUCUUCUGCUCCGUGUGUGUGUGUGUGUGUGUGUAGUAUAAAAAGUAUUUCUUACUGUGGCCAUAUUAAAAGUUACAAAAAGUGAUCUAAGCCAAUGAUGAUUGGUUUGGAUGUGAAUGCUUGAGGCUAUCUGAGUCAAAGAGACAUAAGGGGGAGUUCAGCUUUGGGAAAACUUUUUUUUCAUUCUUACAAAGGCAUAGAAAGCAUUUCUAGUCACACAGGCUAUCUUGAAUAGUAAUCAUCAUAUUGUACAGCAAGGACAGGAGGACAAGCUACCUGCUAAGAUUAUUGAGGAAAGACAAACGAACUGGAUAUUUCCCCCCCACUGUAUUCCUCUAUUCAAUCUCAGUGGCCACAAUCAGACAGAUAGAAAGCACAAGAAUAUAUUUUUUUCCUUGCAUCUGUAGUGGAAACCUUAGUAGCAGAUAGUAACUACUCCAGGUCUGUCAAACAGAUGCAUGAAAAUGAAUAUCUGAUGACAUUAUAAAGCCCCUGAAUGAGCCAACCCUGCAAAUGCCUUUCUGAUGGAUCUCUUGUUUUUUUAAAUAAUAAAUACCUUUACUGUUUAAGCAA